rnacentral:rRNA from 1 species
UACGUAGGGUGCGAGCGUUGUCCGGAAUUAUUGGGCGUAAAGGGCUCGUAGGCGGUUUGUCGCGUCGGGAGUGAAAACCUUGGGCUUAACUCAGGGCUUGCUUUCGAUACGGGCAGACUAGAGGUAUGCAGGGGAGAACGGAAUUCCUGGUGUAGCGGUGAAAUGCGCAGAUAUCAGGAGGAACACCGGUGGCGAAGGCGGUUCUCUGGGCAUGAUCUGACGCUGAGGAGCGAAAGCGUGGGUAGCAAACAGG